UACGUAGGGGGCUAGCGUUGUCCGGAUUUAUUGGGCGUAAAGAGCGUGUAGGCGGCCAGGUAGGUCUGCUGUGAAAACUCGAGGCUCAACCUCGAGCUGUCGGUGGAAACCACAUGGCUAGAGUCCGGAAGAGGAGAGUGGAAUUCCUGGUGUAGCGGUGAAAUGCGCAGAUAUCAGGAAGAACACCAAUGGCGAAGGCAGCUCUCUGGGACGGUACUGACACUGAGACGCGAAAGCGUGGGGAGCGAACAGG
rnacentral:rRNA from 1 species